ACAAGCGGAGGAGCAUGUGGUUUAAUUCGAUGAUACGCGAGGAACCUUACCUGGGCUCGAACGUAAGAUGACUGUAGGUGAAAGCUUACGUCUCUUCGGAGCAUUUUACGAGGUGCUGCAUGGUUGUCGUCAGCUCGUGCCGUGAGGUGUCGGGUUAAGUCCCAUAACGAGCGCAACCCCUACCUUUAGUUGCCAUCAGGUAAUGCUGGGGACUCUAAAGGAACUGCCUACGCAAGUAGUGAGGAAGCGGGGAUGACGUCAAAUCAGCACGGCCCUUACGUCCAGGGCUACACACGUGCUACAAUGGCCGAUACAGAGGGCAGCUACCUGGUGACAGGAUGCAAAUCUCCAAAGUCGGUCUCAGUUCGGAUCGGAGUCUGCAACCCGACUCCGUGAAGUUGGAUUCGCUAGUAAUCGCGCAUCAGCCAUGGCGCGGUGAAUACGUUCCCGGGCCUU
rnacentral:rRNA from 1 species